ACAAGCAUGCCAUCCUGAACAUGCCCAGUCCUGUCUGAAUUCAGCAGCUAAGCAAGAUCAGGCUUGGCAAUUAAAUGGGAGACCACCAGAUCUCCAGGUAAGGCUAGAA
rnacentral:rRNA from 1 species